GAUGAGCGCUGGCGGCGUGCCUAAUACAUGCAAGUCGAGCGAACGGACGAGAAGCUUGCUUCUCUGAUGUUAGCGGCGGACGGGUGAGUAACACGUGGAUAACCUGCCUAUAAGACUGGGAUAACUUCGGGAAACCGGAGCUAAUACCGGAUAAUAUUUUGAACCGCAUGGUUCAAAAGUGAAAGACGGUCUUGCUGUCACUUAUAGAUGGAUCCGCGCUGCAUUAGCUAGUUGGUAAGGUAACGGCUUACCAAGGCAACGAUGCAUAGCCGACCUGAGAGGGUGAUCGGCCACACUGGAACUGAGACACGGUCCAGACUCCUACGGGAGGCAGCAGUAGGGAAUCUUCCGCAAUGGGCGAAAGCCUGACGGAGCAACGCCGCGUGAGUGAUGAAGGUCUUCGGAUCGUAAAACUCUGUUAUUAGGGAAGAACAUAUGUGUAAGUAACUGUGCACAUCUUGACGGUACCUAAUCAGAAAGCCACGGCUAACUACGUG
rnacentral:rRNA from 1 species